rnacentral:rRNA from 1 species
UACGUAGGGGGCGAGCGUUGUCCGGAUUCAUUGGGCGUAAAGAGCUCGUAGGCGGCUUGUCAAGUCGGGUGUGAAACCUCCAGGCUCAACCUGGAGACGCCACUCGAGACUGUCAUGGCUAGAGUCCGGUAGGGGAGACUGGAAUUCCUGGUGUAGCGGUGAAAUGCGCAGAUAUCAGGAGGAACACCGGUGGCGAAGGCGGGUCUCUGGGCCGUAACUGACGCUGAGGAGCGAAAGCAUGGGGAGCGAACAGG